GACAACUGUAUUAGCCAAUGGAUUUCAAUUUGGAGGGGAAAACAAAAAUGAAAGCAUGUUAUUCAGACAGGAAUUAUUCUAAUUUAUGCACAAGGCCAGGUAUUUUGAGGGAAGAGUGUUAACCACUAUCAGUGACCCCAAUUCUUGACUGGGACUUUUAUUUCCCCAGUAAUUAAGUUAUAUUUAUGUUAACUCCUUAUGAUGAAAGUGAACCAAGAUGUGAACUCAGAAGAUUAAUUAUUUUGGAGUUUGGCUUGGUAUGAAGAAUGGUCUGAUCUCUUUAAAAAUAUCCCCUGGAGUGAUGAAGUAGUAUUCCACAUCGGUGAGUUUGUGAACCAUCACAACUGCCACUACUGGGCAGAAGGUGAUACUCGUAUUACCUCUGAAAAAGGCAGAUUCAGUCCCAGGUAUGGAAUGACUUUAGACAGGAUUGUGGGUCCUUUCAUCUUUUGCAAUACCUGAAAGCUGAAAGGUACUUCCCCAUGCUGCAAGAUGAAAUCUGGCCAGUUAUCAGUACAUGGGAGAAUAUUGAAGAUUUGAUUUUUAUGCAAGAUGGCGCUCCUCCAUAUUUUGCUAUUGUUUGUGAAUAGCUGAAUGCCCACUUCCCUUGGUGAUGGAUGGGUCAUCAAGGUCUGCAUGAUUGGCCAGCCAGAAGCCCUGAUUUAACACCCUGUGACUUUUUUCUUUGGGGUUGGUUAAAGGAGCAAACCAACGACUUUGGAAGAACUCCAGUUGGUGCAGUUCCCAGUUUUAAAUAAAA